rnacentral:lncRNA from 1 species
UGAUUAAGUUCUUACCUUCCAAGUUGAGAUGCAAAGAGAUGAACUGAGAAUAGGAGAACAGCACAGUGGGGUACACAUGAAGAGCUUAUCACAAUUCCCCUUAGUAACGGGUUUGUCAUCAAGGGCAGUCUGUCUGUUUAGAAGAUUAAAUGGACUAGAGGAACACAGAGCUUGGGGAGAAACCACUGCAGGCUCAAAGACGCAGAGACCGAAUCUGUGGAGGUGAAAUCACUUGUUGCGCAUGUCACAACCAGUUAAAGGUUCAGGCGGGAUCAGUUGGAGGACAGUGUGACCUGGAGGAAAGAAUGCCAGGCUUCUGACUCUGCCAGGAGCCAGCAGUGGAAUGUCAGCAAGUCCCUUGCCGUGUUUCUGCUUCUGUUUUCUAAUCUGUAAGUCGAAAUAAGAAUGUCUAACUCCACACAGGGUUGGCAGUGGGAUGAGGCCGUAUAUGUGAGAGCACU